ACUUGAUUUAUCACUUGUACUUUGACAUUUCUUUAAUUUAUGAAGUAAUUUUUCCCUGUUCACCAAGAAAUAACUGAAUAAUUAAAUCUGGUCUAUGUAUGUGGGACUGACAAUGAGACAAUUCUCCAUCCAAGUCAUAAUCAGUUUGGGAACAACCCCUUAAUUUUAUAAAUAUCCCUUUUAUGAGGGGUCAAUAUAAGCAGGGACUUUCUAUACUAAGUAAGUAUAGAAAGUCCCUGAUAUAAGUUAUAAUAAUUUUUUUGUAAAAAAAAACCCACUUUU
rnacentral:lncRNA from 1 species